GAUGAACGCUGGCGGCGUGCCUAAUACAUGCAAGUCGAGCGAACAGACGCGGCUCUUGCUCCUCUCACGUUAGCGGCGGACGUGUGAGUAACACGUGUAUCCCCUACCUAUAAGACUGGUAUCACUUCGGGAAACCGGCGCUAAUACCGUAUAAUAUAUUGAACCGCAUGGUUCAAUAGUGAAAUACGGUUUUGCUGUCACUUAUAGAUGUUUCCGCGCCGCAUUAGCUAGUUGGUAAGGUAACGGCUUACCAAGGCAACGAUGCGUAGCCGACCUGAGAGGGGGAUAGGCCACACUGGAACGGAGACACGGUCCAGACUCCUACGGGAGGCAGCAGUAGGGAAUCUUCCGCAAUGGGCGAAAGCAUGACGGAGCAACGCGGCGUGAGUGAUGAAGGUCUUCGGAGCGUAAAAAUCUGUUAUUAGGGAAGAACAAAUGUGGAAGGAAAUAUGCACGUCUUGACGGUACCUAAUCAGAAAGCAACGGCUAACUACGUG
rnacentral:rRNA from 1 species